CGCGUAGGCGGGAUGGCAAGUCGGUCGUGAAAUCUCUCGGCUCAACCGAGAAACGUCGGCCGAUACUGCCGUUCUUGAGGGAUGCAGAGGAGACUGGAAUUCCCGGUGUAGCGGUGAAAUGUGUAGAGAUCGGGAGGAACACCGGUGGCGAAGGCGGGUCUCUGGGCAUUUCCUGACGCUGAGGCGCGAAAGCGUGGGGAGCAAACGG
rnacentral:rRNA from 1 species